GUGAGGAAUUUUCCGCAAUGGGCGAAAGCCUGACGGAGCAAUGCCGCGUGAAGGAUGAAGGCCUAUGGGUUGUAAACUUCUUUUCUCAGAAAAGAAUUAUGACGGUAUCUGAGGAAUAAGCAUCGGCUAACUCUGUGCCAGCAGCCGCGGUAAGACAGAGGAUGCAAGCGUUAUCCGGAAUGAUUGGGCGUAAAGCGUCUGUAGGUUGUUUAAAAAGUAUUCUGUCAAAGAUUAGGGCUUAACCCUAGAUAGGCAGAAUAAACUUUUAAGCUAGAGUUUGGUAGAGGCAGAGGGAAUUCCCGGUGGAGCGGUGAAAUGCGUAGAUAUCGGGAGGAACACCAAAGGCGAAGGCACUCUGCUGGGCCAAUACUAACACUGAGAGACGAAAGCGAGGGGAGCAAAUGGGAUUAGAAACCCGUUAGUCC
rnacentral:rRNA from 1 species